UUUUUUGCUCCUGUCAUUAAACGGCACAUCUUACUUUGGAGAAGAAGAGGAACGGGAUGCGCGUUGGGUCCUUAAACGCCGCAGAGACGUUCACGGAGCGGACAGUAAAAGGACUCUCCCACUGACAGAGCUGCUGCUUGAUUUCAGGAAUAUAUCUCACUUCUCACCUCUACAUGGCAAAGUUCCUGGCUGAAUUACUGGGUUGCACACUUCCAGACAAGGGCACCUCUCCUAUGUUUGAGUGUCGCAGCCCACCCCGUCUCAGACUGAAGCCUUCCUCCAAACAGCGGCCAACUAUUUUUGGAACAUUGACCAAUGACAGAACACCGCGUGACAACAGGCUGG